GAUGAGAUCAUGAGAUACAGAGAGAGAGAGAGAGACUUCAAGAGGGAGAGACCAGCCUCGCAGCGGUGGUUCUUAGGGCGGCGACGGUUAACUCAAGCGAACGAUGAUGGCAGUACUAGCGGCUAGGGUUCAGAUAUGUUUAGGGUUCAGAUCUGUUACCGGUAAAGGAGAUGGAGCCUCGCAGCGGUGGUUCUUAGAGCGGCGUCGGUUAACUCAAGCGAACGAUGAUGGCAGUACUACCGGCUAAGGUUCAAAUCUGUUUAGGGUUCAGAUCUGUUACCGGUAACUAGGGUUUCUACCAGGUCUCCGAUUUUGAGGUAAGAUAAGAUUGUUUUAGUCACUAAAUUUUUGGUUUGAUACUGAUGUUUAAGGAACCGCAAUAGAACAAACUGUAUCCAUGUUAAACAUGUAUAUAUGAUAUUGAAUCAAGUCAUCAUUUUGACUAAGGCCAACUGGACACACACAUCCUAG
rnacentral:lncRNA from 1 species